UACGGAGGGAGCUAGCGUUGUUCGGAAUUACUGGGCGUAAAGCGCACGUAGGCGGCUUUGUAAGUUAGAGGUGAAAGCCCGGGGCUCAACUCCGGAACUGCCUUUAAGACUGCAUCGCUUGAAUCCAGGAGAGGUGAGUGGAACUCCGAGUGUAGAGGUGAAAUUCGUAGAUAUUCGGAAGAACACCAGUGGCGAAGGCGGCUCACUGGACUGGUAUUGACGCUGAGGUGCGAAAGCGUGGGGAGCAAACAGG
rnacentral:rRNA from 1 species